rnacentral:rRNA from 1 species
UACGUAGGUGGCAAGCGUUGUCCGGAAUUACUGGGUGUAAAGGGAGCGCAGGCGGGAAUCUAAGUCAGCUGUGAAAGCCCCAGGCUUAACCUGGGAGGUGCAGUUGAAACUGGAAUUCUUGAGUGAAGUAGAGGUAGGCGGAAUUCCGAGUGUAGCGGUGAAAUGCGUAGAUAUUCGGAGGAACACCAGUGGCGAAGGCGGCCUACUGGGCUUUAACUGACGCUGAGGCUCGAAAGUGUGGGGAGCAAACAGG